GGUCAAGCUGUGCACUCUAGACAGACUGCCGUGGACAACACGGAGGAAGGUGGGGAGUGACGUCAAAUCAUCAUGCCCCUUAUGAUCUGGGCUACACACGUGCUACAAUGGCCGGUACAACGGGCAGCGAAGGAGCGAUCCGGAGCGAAUCCUAAAAAGACCGGUCCCAGUUCGGAUUGCAGGCUGAAACUCGCCUACAUGAAGUUGGAGUUGCUAGUAAUCGCGAAUCAGAAUGUCGCGGUGAAUGCGUUCCCGGGUCUU
rnacentral:rRNA from 1 species